GAGUAACACGUGGGUAACCUGCCUGUAAGACUGGGAUAACUCCGGGAAACCGGAGCUAAUACCGGAUAGUUCCUUGAACCGCAUGGUUCAAGGAUGAAAGACGGUUUCGGCUGUCACUUACAGAUGGACCCGCGGCGCAUUAGCUAGUUGGUGAGGUAACGGCUCACCAAGGCGACGAUGCGUAGCCGACCUGAGAGGGUGAUCGGCCACACUGGGACUGAGACACGGCCCAGACUCCUACGGGAGGCAGCAGUAGGGAAUCUUCCGCAAUGGACGAAAGUCUGACGGAGCAACGCCGCGUGAGUGAUGAAGGUUUUCGGAUCGUAAAGCUCUGUUGUUAGGGAAGAACAAGUGCAAGAGUAACUGCUUGCACCUUGACGGUACCUAACCAGAAAGCCACGGCUAACUACGUGCCAGCAGCCGCGGUAAUACGUAGGUGGCAAGCGUUGUCCGGAAUUAUUGGGCGUAAAGGGCUCGCAGGCGGUUUCUUAAGUCUGAUGUGAAAGCCCCCGGCUCAACCGGGGAGGGUCAUUGGAAACUGGGAAACUUGAGUGCAGAAGAGGAGAGUGGAAUUCCACGUGUAGCGGUGAAAUGCGUAGAGAUGUGGAGGAACACCAGUGGCGAAGGCGACUCUCUGGUCUGUAACUGACGCUGAGGAGCGAAAGCGUGGGGAGCGAACAGGAUUAGAUACCCUGGUAGUCCACGCCGUAAACGAUGAGUGCUAAGUGUUAGGGGGUUUCCGCCCCUUAGUGCUGCAACUAACGCAUUAAGCACUCCGCCUGGGGAGUACGGUCGCAAGACUGAAACUCAAAGGAAUUGACGGGGGCCCGCACAAGCGGUGGAGCAUGUGGUUUAAUUCGAAGCAACGCGAAGAACCUUACCAGGUCUUGACAUCCUCUGACAACCCUAGAGAUAGGGCUUUCCCUUCGGGGACAGAGUGACAGGUGGUGCAUGGUUGUCGUCAGCUCGUGUCGUGAGAUGUUGGGUUAAGUCCCGCAACGAGCGCAACCCUUGAUCUUAGUUGCCAGCAUUUAGUUGGGCACUCUAAGGUGACUGCCGGUGACAAACCGGAGGAAGGUGGGGAUGACGUCAAAUCAUCAUGCCCCUUAUGACCUGGGCUACACACGUGCUACAAUGGACAGAACAAAGGGCUGCGAGACCGCAAGGUUUAGCCAAUCCCACAAAUCUGUUCUCAGUUCGGAUCGCAGUCUGCAACUCGACUGCGUGAAGCUGGAAUCGCUAGUAAUCGCGGAUCAGCA
rnacentral:rRNA from 1 species